CAUCUCCAUCUCUGCAGCAUCGCUGACUCUCUUCACUGUAUUCAGCGUCCCACCUGUCUGGUGCAACGUAUUAAUAGGCCUUUCUGGAACGAUCUACACAGCACUGGGUGGACUCCGAGGAGUGGUGUGGACAGACUGUGUACAGUGCAUCUUUAUCGUUAUCGCUCCAAUAGCACUUGUUGCGAAGGUCAUAUUGGAUUCGCAUUCCCCGAAUUCCCAAGCAACAUCAUUAAGUGAUCUCGAUCUGCGGC
rnacentral:lncRNA from 1 species